rnacentral:rRNA from 1 species
GCCCCGGUAAACGGCGGCCGUAACUAUAACGGUCCUAAGGUAGCGAAAUUCCUUGUCGGGUAAGUUCCGACCUGCACGAAUGGCGUAAUGAUGGCCAGGCUGUCUCCACCCGAGACUCAGUGAAAUUGAACUCGCUGUGAAGAUGCAGUGUACCCGCGGCAAGACGGAAAGACCCCGUGAACCUUUACUAUAGCUUGACACUGAACAUUGAGCCUUGAUGUGUAGGAUAGGUGGGAGGCUUUGAAGUGUGGACGCCAGUCUGCAUGGAGCCGACCUUGAAAUACCACCCUUUAAUGUUUGAUGUUCUAACGUUGGCCCGUAAUCCGGGUUGCGGACAGUGUCUGGUGGGUAGUUUGACUGGGGCGGUCUCCUCCUAAAGAGUAACGGAGGAGCACGAAGGUUGGCUAAUCCUGGUCGGACAUCAGGAGGUUAGUGCAAUGGCAUAAGCCAGCUUGACUGCGAGCGUGACGGCGCGAGCAGGUGCGAAAGCAGGUCAUAGUGAUCCGGUGGUUCUGAAUGGAAGGGCCAUCGCUCAACGGAUAAAAGGUACUCCGGGGAUAACAGGCUGAUACCGCCCAAGAGUUCAUAUCGACGGCGG